rnacentral:rRNA from 1 species
AUGAAGUCGCGUGCAAAGGAGCUGAUGGGUGGGAUCCCAGGUGAGAUUCGCUUCCAUCAGAAGGGGAGAGUGGCGGCCGAAAGAGGCAACAGCGACAAUCAGGAGGUACUGCCAUACAUUAGGAGAUCUUCUCCAAAGGAAGUGCUCCCGUCCAGAGUAGGAUUUACGGAUUUGAGUAUUAAUGUUUUGGAAAGAAAUGCUACUGAUCAGAUUCCUAGAGAGAUUUUCUCGCUGAGAAUUAUAAAAAAGGAAGAGGGAAAUCAGGGGAGGGCUUUUAUCUGCACAUUUAGGGAGAAGAGAGAAAUUAGGGGGAUUUUAAGUUGGAAACUGCUCUUUCAAGACCCUUUAUUUUUCUUUAAAUGCACGAAUUUCGUCCCGUUUGUGGCGAACUCAGAAGAGGGGAGACACUAUUUUAACACCGAGGGGGAUUGCUCGAGGUCCUUAGUUCAUCAUACAGGAAAAAAGCCUCUGUCUUCCUAUCGGGUUUUCUUGUCUACACCUGCUAGUUUAGUGAAAAGGGGAGAGAUGGAGAGGAAAGGGGAGACGGAGGAGGUAGGAAAGAGCUCCGGAAGUGUGCCGUGA